UUUUGUGGCAUGACAUGAUAUGCUUUUGUGAUUAAUUAUGUUGAUGAUGUGUGAUGGUAUACGUGAUGAUGUGAAUGUAUACAUUUGUGAAUAGACUGUAUUGCUUGGUUAGAGUGUGAGCAUGUGUCUAUUCUGAUUAUUGUUGAUGUUGCAUUGCUAGGUGAUUAGCAUGCAUAUUGUGGCCUUCGGGUGGUAGCUAAUUCCCAUGGUGAGGAAUUAGUGAGUUUAGUCAUUUUUGGACUGUUGUUG
rnacentral:lncRNA from 1 species